GUUCCCUUAAAGGCCUCCAUGUAGGAUUCUGAAUGAUUCCCAGAGUCCAGCUCCUUGGAUUUUUGUCUUUCUGUCAUGCCCACAGGACCAUAGAGGAAAAGAACACAAUGGGGUAUCAUGAAGACAUCUGACCGGACGGGCUUGAGAUGGAGCCUGUCAACUUUGUCCAUGGCCCUAACUUCAUCAGCCUGAAGUUAGCACAUGAUCCAACUACAUGGGAGGCUGUGAAAUGCUGAUUUCCAGGUCCUUCCAAAGCUGUGGCCAAGAAGAGGUUCUGUGGAUCUGAUAAGAAACUGCACUCAUUAACACUAAUUUGCUGUAUAUACUCAAGAUUGAAGGUAUAAAGACAUAUUUCUUCAAAAAACCAUCAGCGACGCUCUAACAUCAAAGUUUUGGAAGCCACCUUCUGCCACAUCUCCUAUGGAAAGAAAAGCUCUUCUAGUUAUUCUAAGGGCAGAUGGGCAGGGCUGAGAAAUGGGGCACCAAGAGUUAGAGAGAAACGGGGCGUCAAGAGCUGGCACAAGGUUUAAAAUGCAGGCAGUCGGCCUCAGCUUCUCCCACCUGCCUUCAUCCGAUGCUCAUUCCACUGUGGGCUCAGACCAACAGAGGUCCCGUCAAGGAGUGGGCCCCUUUGUGCAACCAGCUGAAGCCUGUGCCUCCACGAUCUGUUUCCCAUCUCCUGCCAACUCUGUGGUGCCAGGCAGCCACCUCCCUACCACCCAGAGAGUACGGAGAACACCAGUGCCUGGCGCAAAAAGCCUGCCUUCGGAGCCCUGUCCCGGCUCACUGCCCUCAGCUAGCGGAUUAAAGGGGCUCAGAGUAAAGUCGUCCUACGUGGGGACUAGCAGGCCCACCCUACACCAAGGCAGGAGGCCCUCCCUUCCUCUGGGCUCUCCAGGAGGCCGUCGGACAUCCCGAAGGAGCCAUGGACAGAGAAUACAGCAUCCACUUUUCCCUCUCACCACUGCAGAAGGCAGGAGUCCUCAGAGGCCCCAGGUGAUCUUUCUCUGGGAGAAGGACAUUCAGAAUAGUUGGGAGUUCCUGGAUGGGAGACACUGGUCCAACCCUUAGGUGUGUGGUCCUGCUCCAAGGAAGGCAUCCUGCUCGUGGUUUGCCUAGGGUAGAUCACUUCAAAAGACCUAUAACCAUGUCAUGAAGAAAAUCUCAAACUAUGAUGGGGGGUGGGGGAAACCAGGUUAAACUGCAUGGAACUAGGCCACCAGCAAGGAAUGCCUGGAGCCCAGUGUUUACAAAGUGUCUCCAGCUGGGCACUCAUGGUACAUGGAAAACAUCAGCCACCCAGGGAGGUUAGGGUGAGCCCAUAUUUUUUUGCAGAUGGGCCAAGGUGAUGUUUACAGACACGGCAGGUAAACAGCAAGGAUGCAGAUCCAGAUCUGACGACUCUGAGACUGGUACAUCAUCAAUUCCACCCAAGCCAUCAGUAAAUAAUGCUGAGGGCACCUCUCUAUCGCUUCCACCCUCUUCCAAAGCCAGACUUAGGAGCAUAGUGUGUUAGUUCGUUUUUCUCCUUGCUGUGAUCAAAUGCCUGACAGAAGACGCUAAAGAAAGGAAGGGCCUGUUUUGGCACAUGGUUGUAAGAAAUGCCACAGCCCAUCGUGUCAGGGAAGGCAUGGUGGCACAGGUGUGACAAAGGCUGAUCGCAUUGUGCGUGCAGACAAAGCUGCUGUGAGCUUGAGUUCUCUGCUGCCCACCCCACUCCAUUUUAUUCAGAAUGGCACCCCAACCUCAGGGAUGGUACCACCCCCCUUCAGACCAUGUCUCCCUUCCCCAAUUAAACCUCUCUGAAAAGCCUCACAAAAACCCAGAGGUCUGUCUCCUGGGCAACUUCCAAUCCAAUCAUGUUCAAAAUAAAAAUUAAUCACACACAGUUGUAA